rnacentral:rRNA from 1 species
UACGUAGGGUGCGAGCGUUGUCCGGAAUUAUUGGGCGUAAAGGGCUCGUAGGCGGUUUGUCACGUCAGGAGUGAAAACUCGGGGCUCAACCCCGAGCCUGCUUCUGAUACGGGCAGACUGGAGGUAUGCAGGGGAGAACGGAAUUCCUGGUGUAGCGGUGAAAUGCGCAGAUAUCAGGAGGAACACCGGUGGCGAAGGCGGUUCUCUGGGCAUUACCUGACGCUGAGGAGCGAAAGCGUGGGGAGCGAACAGG